rnacentral:rRNA from 1 species
GAGAAGUCGUAACAAGGUUUCCGUAGGUGAACCUGCGGAAGGAUCAUUGUCGAAACCUUGCCCAGGAGAACGACCCGCGAACAAGCUGCACGAAUGCGAGGGGAUUACGGGGGGCCUCGACCCCCUCAUCUCCCCAAAACAACAACCAAACCCCCGGCGCGAGUCGUGCCAAGGAAAUCCAACGAGAUUGCUGUCCCAAUCCCGAGAAGGGGGUUAGUGGGCGGCGACCCUUCUUGUUGUAUGAACAAAAAUGACUCUCGGCAACGGAUAUCUCGGCUCUCGCAUCGAUGAAGAACGUAGCGAAAUGCGAUACUUGGUGUGAAUUGCAGAAUCCCGGGAACCAUCGAGUCUUUGAACGCAAGUUGCGCCCGAAGCCAUUAGGCCGGGGGCACGUCUACCUGGGUAUCACGCAUUGUUGCCCCAAACCCACCUCCCCUCGAGGGAGUUUUGGGGCGGAUGUUGGUCUCCCGUUAGCCACAGCUCGCGGUUGGCCCAAAUUCGUAUUCUUCGGUGGCGGAUGCCACGACGAUCGGUGGUUUUUGCCCUCGCACUCGGUCGUGCGCGAACUCCCCCGAC